AAUCUACUCCUUCAGUUCGGAAUUGCUUGUCUCAAAUAUGGAUGUAUCUAGAACUAAAAUACAUCUAGAUAUAUCCAUUUUUACGACAAGUAAUUUCGAACGGAGGGAGUACGAU
rfam:Triticum urartu cultivar G1812 contig990849, whole genome shotgun sequence.